AAUGUUGCAAGCCUUGUAAACUUCUGUUGCAAGCCAUGUAAAAAUUGCUGGAAACCAUGUUCGGAAGUGGGGGUAACCUAGCCAUGGCACAACGAUUUGCGUUUGAAUCCGACCUUGCUACCAUUCUCUUGGGUGCAGGAGCGUCAGUCAAGAUUGUGACAUUCAAAGGCAUGGCCGAUCACUCUUACGUGACAAAGAAGUUCUCUUCAUCGAUUUCUGGAAAGAGGGGUUGUGGAUCAUGUUAGUGUUCUGCAAUCGGUGUACAUUCCCCUCGAGGAAGAUACUAUAGCCGCGAAGAUUGCCUUUCGAUGUUAUAGAGCAUCUCUUAGGCCGAAUGGUAAUGCAAUUUCGUAUGCCAAUGCCGCCUUUUACGCCCAUGUCUCAAAUAACUAGGAGCGAGGAACCACUGUGCUCAAGAGUGUUUGGUUGGCGUUUGGUGCCUUUGGAACGAAGCAUGCAAUUUGGGCUUUGCAAGUAGAGACGCUAUUGGGCAGCACAACCCUUAUCCUUGCAAGGGUAAAAAAAUCUGUGGAUCUUCUAAAAACGGAAUUGGUACCGGUCGAAGGAAUUGAAAAGAAAGAGUAUUGCGUCAAGCCUUACGGUGGGAUUUUUGUUCGAGUUUCUGAAUUCUCUUCUAUCUAGCGAAACAACCCUGACUCCUACACCUCUCUCCAGAUUAAAGUUACAUCGACUUCUUCAAACAUCUGGUAGGUUUAGGGAACCAUAACCAAAAUUUCAAAGGGGACGCUCUCAAAUGUCAAAUGCAUCGACAUUCUACACACAGCGGUGACUAAACAAUGCGCAAGCUCUCGGGAUCGUCGUGGUGUCCCAGACCAUGGCCGGCUAUUCGUUAAGGAGAGUCCCAUGAGAACAACGGAUAAUAGAAGGUCCCAAUCCCAACAAUUCAACCACAACUUGCAACAAGCGUCAAGAUAUGAAUUGAAAGAUGUCCUAGCGACAGCACACUUUCAUUCCAGUGCACCACUAGCACUGUGGAGCAUCAUGAUGCACUGUGAACGGUGACAUGUUACCACCCAGUAUGCUUAGACUAAAGGGUCGAUUCGGUGAAAAGGCGAAUUUAGACCAAAGUGUUCCACUGCAAGGCGGCGAUAAACACAGCAACAAUAUCGUGCCAAAGUGUGCGAGGCAUGCGCUUCGAUCCAGUUCGAACUAAAAAUAGGAUUUGUUUUAUAGCAUAUAAAGGUCAGCGGUAGAUUUGUUAUUACCAAGAAUACAGGGGUAUUCUUGAUAUUUCAGGAAAUUGCAGAGAAUUCUCUCUUAUUUUUAACAAAU